CCUACGGGCGGCUGCAGUGGGGAAUAUUGCACAAUGGGCGCAAGCCUGAUGCAGCCAUGCCGCGUGUGUGAAGAAGGCCUUCGGGUUGUAAAGCACUUUCAGCGGGGAGGAAGGCGUUAAGGUUAAUAACCUUGGCGAUUGACGUUACCCGCAGAAGAAGCACCGGCUAACUCCGUGCCAGCAGCCGCGGUAAUACGGAGGGUGCAAGCGUUAAUCGGAAUUACUGGGCGUAAAGCGCACGCAGGCGGUCUGUCAAGUCGGAUGUGAAAUCCCCGGGCUCAACCUGGGAACUGCAUUCGAAACUGGCAGGCUAGAGUCGUGUAGAGGGGGGUAGAAUUCCAGGUGUAGCGGUGAAAUGCGUAGAGAUCUGGAGGAAUACCGGUGGCGAAGGCGGCCCCCUGGACAAAGACUGACGUUCAGGUGCGAAAGCGUGGGGAGCAAACAGGAUUAGAUACCCCUGUAGUC
rnacentral:rRNA from 1 species